UGUGUGCGACGACUGAAAGUCUUGAGUGGAGUGAGGGGAACACCAUCGGACUUGGAGUGGUGGUUUUAGGGUCUUAAUGUCGUCCUUGGGAUCCUAACGAAAGGUUCCCGAUACUGGAUUGGGACACCUUGAAACCUCUUUUACUACCUCCAGAGACAAAAUCACGUGAGGAUCCAUCCAUACUGCUGCUAAUACCAUUGGUCUGGAAGUUGGAGGUGUUGCACAGCUCUCAACACAAGCACAGCUUGAAAACCAGGAGCACCUGAAGGAACAGUGCUCAUUUCCUACAGAAAACAAGUGACUGAGAAAGAAGUCUAGAUGACUGUGUUAGUUCCAUGGACGAAGCUUUACCAGAGUGACAGUAUGACUCAGUCAUCAGAAAAGCAGGGAGCAGCACCGAGAUGGUUCUAAGGCAGUUCCUCCCCUGGAUCUGGGGCAAGCACAUCUACAGGGACUCUCAUUGCUGGGUACCAGGACACAGACCUACUAAAGGAUCAGGAGACAGAUGCCAAAGGUACAGCCUUUAAUAGACAACUUUGCACAGUAUUGAAUUAUAGCACAUUAGAAUGUUUCUGUUCUGCAUCUUACUGAGAUAUGCUCACUCUUCUGAAGAAAGUCUAGCUUUUAUUAUGAUUGUAUUGAAAAACAGGGUAUACAAAUACUCAUGCAAAAAGACUUUUACAUUUUUGACAGUGUUUGGAUGAUGGCAUCUUCCAAUUCACAUUAUAAUUUUAUUUCUGAAAAGCUGAAAACUUGCUACAGGAAGCUACAGGAAACGUAUCCCUAGAAAAAGUCCUAUAUACAUAUCAGGUGAGAGGCAUACAUAAGGCCACAGAAAUCCUUAGUGCUUCUGUGGGAACCAAGGGUGAACUAUGUGAGACUUUUGCAAUCCAGUGACAACUCUGGCUUCCAGACUUUUGUAAGAAUAGUUUACAUCUUUAUUUUUUGAUUGAUUUUUUUUGGAGGUUACCCCCACCCCCCUGCACUGCCCUGAAAGGGGCUGCCAUGGAACAGGGAGAUCCUCUAUGCCAUUCCAGGUAACAAUGUGGCAGAUAAAAGAUGCAAAUUCAGUAAGAACAGCUGCUAUGCCUCCUGUGUCUUACUUAUCUUUAAAAUAUUUGAACUGAGUUUUGCCACCUUUUUUCUUGUUAUUGCUUGAGAUGUGCAGCUAUAGAUCUAACAGACAGAAGCUGCCGUAGUUACUUUUCAAAUUAACGGAGAGCAGCCAAACAAAUGCCUCAUGCUGCCUUAAGCGGUGACCUUCAGAGGCUAAGGAUCCUUGAGUUUCAGAUCACAGUGGUUUAGCUUGUGGACUUGAUCACUGCCCAUAACAUCAACACUAGAGGUUGCAACUUUCUGUUGCAUUUUUGUGAAUAAACCAGGCAAGCAUUCAUUAAAAUUAGAAGACCAUGAGUUGAUUCAACCCAGGUCAGCUGAGAGCUAAUCGACACCCUGGAGCAGACUGAACUGUGCUGUCUUGCCUUCUGCUGCAUCACUCGCUACAUCUAGGUAAAGUCAUUCUUCACAAAGAUUUAGUUUGCAAGGAGUUUCCCCCUGUAAUUUGGAGGGGGCGGGUGUUAAAUGCUGGUUUUGCACAUGUAGUACAAUUUCAUGCCACUAUGCUGUGUUUUACAAGGAGGUGCGUGUGAAAGAAUGCUAGAGCAGAGUGAGAAUGAUUUCUCUUCUAUCAGUCAAUAUGCUGUAUAUCAUGCCUGAGAUGUGACAGGAGAUAGCUUCUUUGCAAUGGACAGCUGCACAAAACACUUCUCUAGCAGGUAACUUACAAAUAAUCACAAGGCAGAGAUCUGUUACCUUCUGUCAGUUACGAGUCUGCAGCUGCACAUGUCAAAAGCAUUGUACUUACGCCAUAUGUGCUUGGCUUCCCUGUGAAAAGAUUCAUGAAACAUCAGAAAUAAACCAGCUGUGUAUCCUCAAACACUGGACUGUAUGAACAUAUUUUCCAGGAUUUUUCUAUGGCUCACGUAUUCCGGCUCUGUUAAACCAAUAGGUCAUGUGAAGAAUUUACCAUACCCUGCUGUCCAGAUUGCAUGAUGCAAGUCAGGUGGCUCUUAUCCAGAAAUUAAUUUUAAUCACCAGCUGAGGAGAGUGGCAGUGUGCAAAGCUAGAAAGCUUAUCUGUAGAGCAAUACUGGCACCUUAUAAAUUAGAUCUGCAAAGUAAUGCAGAAAGCAAUAUAGUAAGCUCCAGGCUGAAAGCAAGCCUGCUUAGGCACGCAUCCACACCGUAUCACAACUGAGUGCACUUUCUGUGCAGAAAACAAUGCUAUAUGAAAGGUACAGAGAGGCCAGUUUUUACCCCUUUGUUCUUCCUCCCUGGAGUCUUACUUUUAGCCCAUUCAUUUUAUCACCAUUCUCUGCACUGCUUCUGGUUUGACUUUUCUCUUUUCUGUUCAACAGAUAACUAGAACUGCACAAGCAUUCUCAAUGAUAACUCACCAUCGCUUUAUCACAAUGACAGGCUCAGUCUCUCCCGAAAAAGACUGUGGCUGAAACACACCCUAGAUCAUCUUUUUUCAUGGCAGCAUCGCAUUUCAAGAUGAAUGGGCUUCCAGUCAGCUAGAUCAAUAAUCAUCCUAGAUCUUUCUCACCUAUGUCCCUUUGAUAAACACCCCACUUAAAGAAUAAUGAGCAUUUCUGCCUUUAUGGUACAGAACUUAUACUUAGAAAUAGCAAAACACUGAAUAAUACAAAAAUGUAUGUCUUCAUGGUUAUCUACUUCCUCCAAUAUGAUAUCUUACCCCACUGCAUUGACAGAAUGCCAUCAUCAGCAGACUCCUGCUUUUUGAGGCAAGGUCAAGCACAGAUAUAUUUUAAGACAAAAUAUGCUCCUGAUCAUUCCUUGGAGAACUUCGCGAUCAACUUUCUCCAGACUUGAUCCUUCUACUUAAUAGCCUCAGCAGCCCCUGCCCCACCACCACCAUUUUCUUUCUACCUUAUAGAUUUACUAACUACAUGUAACAAAUUUGCAAUGAGGCAUCACCUGCUUUAUGGGGAGAAAGAAAGAAAAAAAAAAAAAAAAAAAGCUCCUUUAGCACUUACAUGAGGGAAAAACAUACCUUUAACAAACCUUUGUACUGUUUAAAAUUGGUCUUCUACAGCAGUCAAAUGUUGGUGCUUCCACUUCCUGCCUUCCUUAGGUGUCCCCCAAGGUCUGUUCGAUUUUGCCUUCCGCCCAAAUAGAUGCUGUCUAGAGUAUUUUGUACUGAACACCAACAGCCCCAAAUAACUGACAAUGACAAAAGCAGGAUUCAUUCAUACUCUAGAGUCCUUGCAAAGAGAACAAGCCCAGUCAGGCCUACAACCAGGAAAGGCUCAUCUGGGCCACUUUCCUUUCCAUUUUCCACUUAAGAUAGCCCUGAGGUUUGGAAGGAAGAUUACAGUGUCAAGGGUAUGCCACAGGCACUACAAAGUCAUCGAGAAGUUCUCGAGAGUUUUAUGAAUGCAACUAUUUACCCUGUUUACCUCCAGGCAGGGAAUUUUAGUUGGGUCCAACUUGGAUGACUGGUAGAACAGCUCUUCACUGGGCAGAAUAUCAGAUUUAUUGGUAGCCCUUACUACUAUUGAGGAAUGCAGUCUGUCUAGUUAGCAAGGUGAAUGAGGCAGUUUCUCCCUUCCUCUCUCCUUUUUUUCCUCAUUUUAUCCUUCUGAGCAACUUAUGAGAGUAACUUGCUAUAUCUCUCCACAAGUUUUAGAGACAUUCAUCACAGGUUUGAUCUUGCUACCGCAGUUGAUAGUGGUGGAUAGUGGUUUCCAUCAACUUCAGUGACACAAUAUUCAAAUCAAGAGUUCUCAAAUGCUGGAAAAGUAGAUAAUUUGAAAGGAAGAAAAAACAACCUGAUUCACAUCAGCCCUAACCUGGUUCAAAAAAAAAAAGUAUUAAAAAAAUUGACAUUUUUUCCUUGGAAUUCAUCUAUUUUGGUAAACUAAAGGGUUUUUUAAGUUUAUACUUGAAUAAUAAAGUUCCACUCAUCUGAUUUGGUGGCUUUCCUUCCCCAUUUCUGUAAGCCUCUGGUUAAGUACUUUUGACAUUAGCUGCAUAGUUUCAGUAACAGUAUAAAUGACCUUAUUGGCUGCUCUGAGCUCUAAACACAUUUAUAAAUAUGAAGUAAAAAAAAAUUAUUUAAGCUUUUGUAGAUGCAGCUUUAUUCAGACUCAUUUAUUCACUCCUGGCUAAACAAGUGCUUUCCAUGAACUACAGAAGUCAACAUAGCAAAUUAAAUUCAUACUUUCAAUACGCAGGACAAAAUCAAGGCUGAAGUACUUGCCUACAUUUAUAUUUUACAGCUUCAUGCAAACACUUCCUAGUCUCCUUGCUGGAGACAUGGUAUCCCUUCUACUCUCAUCUUCUACAAGUACUGAAGGUAUAAGGUUUUGGUCCUAAUAUAAACUAAUUUCCCAUAAUUGUCUAGGUCUUGCUAUUGGGGUUAAGUCUUGUCAAAGUAUUAAGGAAUCUUUCAACCGUUUUGUUUGACCCACAUCUCUUUUGCAGCAGUUUCUCUGUACAGCCAGUUACACCAUACAACACCUAAAGGUUUCUGCUAAGCACAUGAGAAAAAUCCUGUGGUAGCAGGUUUCUAAAGGGAGAAUGCUGAUGCACUGGGCUCAGAGUUAAAAGAACUAUGCUGAAGGGAGGACAAAAUACAGGUGUAUUCGAGGGCAGAUCUAGAAUUUCCCAGUGUAGGCAUCCAGGACCUGACCAUCCACCAAGAUGCGCUUAGUUCCAACCCUCUCGCAUACAGCGUCUUUCAAAAGUCACUGCUGCCAAUGGACAGGGUGUAGUCAUCAGUUUGUGAUGGGGUGAUUCUGGUAUUAGGAAGUUGCAUCAGAGGAAGAAAACAAACCAAAAAAACCCCACAGCAAAACAACCCUUAAAAGACAGCUCUUUUCUCUAACCCUCAUCACAGCUGGAUCAUAUCCCAUGUAAUGGUGGAGACAGUACCAACACAGGAGGUCCAUUCCUCUGGAUUCCCAGGAGCAGAGGGUGCAUUUCAAGAAUGUACCAGGACAUGACAAUCUGCUGAGGGUGGUGAUGCGUGGGACAACAGGAAUUCUCUACAUUGCUAUUGCUCCAGGUGGAUCAAAAAGACAAAGAGAAGGAAGAGUAACUAUUGUUUCACAAUUCUAAAUAUUGAACAUACCUAGUUGGGAUUUGAAUAGUCAAUGAACCUCUCACCAGAACAGGAGUAUUCCUUCUUUACUUAUUUAAAAAACCACCAAACAAAAAACCAAACAAAACCAAAAGCCACUGUAAAGAAUCUUAAGUGAUAGGGUUUUGCACCUCAAUCCCACUGGAGAAAGGAAGAGGGGGGAAAAAAAAAAAAAAAAAAAAGAGAACUUUAUUCCUAACUAGCAAAAAGAACACUGGUACAGUUAAGCUAUUCUCCCUUUUCCAAAAGCCUUGAGGGGGUGGGAGGUGGGGAGGAUAAGAGGGGACACGAGACACAACGCUGCACCACAGAUCUACAUGAAUAGCUGCUGUUGCACUGAGAUAGAAAUUCUAUCACACAUUAUUCCUGAAGGAAUAAUUUCUCAAAAUAACAUUUCAGCAAUGAAGAUUAUUUUUGGUGAUAGAUCCUAUAUGCACACAGCUGUUUGGCAUUCAUAAUACACACACACACACACACACACACACACACACAGUUAGCAGAUUAACCAGAAACUGCUAAAGGAUUUUAAUGUCUUCGGAUUGUUUCACUUCUAAGAGUCUGCUUCAUUUACAGGAGAGUUGCUGGAGAGAAAAUGGUGUUCACAAGGUGACCAUUUGCAUCAAGAAGUGUACAAACUCGAAAGUUGGAAAAUUGGUAAGAUUGCCUGCCUGUCCAGCAGGGAGGAUCAGUCAAGGAACCAUCAAAUACUUGGGGAACCUGACUGUUAUAAAAAAAAAAAAAAAAAAAAAAAAAAAAGUACAUCUUGGAGUAGAAAUGGAAGCCAACGAAGUAGGAAAAUGUGAUGGAACAUUUCUGGAAACAUGGUAUUACUUUUGUUAAGUUUAAUAUUGCUGCAGUUGAAAGUAAUAAAAUCCUGCUAUUACUCUCCUGAAAAAUCUGAUUGAUGGUUCUGUUUUAAUACUAUAAUUAAAAUACAGGGAUUACAAGAUGA